rnacentral:lncRNA from 1 species
UGGGCAUUCGAUUCGAGAUGAUCUUCGUGGACAUUUGCUAUGGAACCGUAGUGUUCAGAGGAGCUAGGUGGGAAAGGAAAGAACUGGGAUUUGAACAUGCAGUAAAUGCUAGCCAUUAUGACCCAUCCUAUAUUGGGCCAGGCCAGGAAGCUGAUCCUGAAACUGCCAACAUUCCAUCCGAUAUAGUAGAUGAGAUCCAUACAUCCUGAUUUCCCUAAUUGAAACAUUAUGAAACUGCCAACAUUCUAUCCGAUAUAGUAGAGCCAUAACCCUUCUUUCCCUUAUUGAAACAUUCUAUCCGAUAUAGCAGAUAAGAGCCAUCUACCUAUCUUGUAUUUCCCUUACUUAUUGGUGGGGUUGGUCGGACUUCCUUCAUGGUAAUCAUUAAAGUAGAACAUUCCAGUAAAAGACUUCAUGGUGCGUGCCAAUCAUUCAAAGUGGUGAUCUGGGCAGAAGUAGCUAGAGGCAAACCACUCAGAUGCCCAGUCAGCUAAGCUUCUAUGGCUGUGGGGGGCCGAAUUAUUUAAGUAGUCAGUUUCGGAGCUUAGUCUUAAUUAAUUAUAUAAGAAGUCUUUUGCAUAAGUUAACAUAUUCCAUAAGAUAGAACUUCCUAUAAAACCAACGGAAACUACAUCUCUAUUCUCUCUAUUAUGCCUCUGCCCUUUAAUAAGCAGGGUUUGAUUAUGCCGAGAUAUAUUCGAUUCUUGACUUAUGCCGAGAUAUAUUCGAUUCUUGACUUAAGUAAUAGCUGUGAGAUUACUAAGUAAUAGCUGUGAGAUUACUAAAAGAUAUCCCAUGUGCUCGAGACUCGAGAGAUUCCAUUCUGCACUUCUUGUAGAGUGAAAAACCAUAUUGGUAAGAUAUACUAUUGGAUUCUAUUAGAAGUAGUGUCAAUCAUUGAAAAUCAAAUAUGCAAAUCAAAAUGGUGGAAGGGUUUGGACUAUGCUUAUAGAAGAAGUGACUAAUAUUCCAUUUGGAAGCUUCAUUCCUAUAUUUCCAGAUCAGCCAUAAAGAGUGGGCACUGCUAGCUCGAAGGGAUUAGAUUUAUGUUUAGUCAAGUCACGCGUACCCAUUUAGUAUGAAUAAUAGAAACACAUAUUGAGGAUGAAUAAUGGAAACACAUAUGAAAUGAGUAAAAACACUCCGGACUCCUAUGACUAUAAAGAAUAGAAAGAAGAUAGCGUCACACAUAUAGAAAGAAGUAAACAAUCUCCUUACUAUCCUUAAGGAACCUUUCAUACAAUGAACAGAUGGGUACUGCCGAAGAUUGACUUUUCCAAAUCCAGAAGAUUGUAUAGACCCAAUGGGACCGAAUCUGACCUAAACCCCAGCGCCCUAAGAGAAGGAACUCACGUAAGCACCCGCUUAUAUACAAUACUAGCAUAUUACCCCUGACCCCGGAGAUACAAGACGGAACUCUAUUCCCUUGAAUCACCCCUAUCUUAAAUCACCCCUAUAAUAAUUGAUUGAUGUCGGCACCCCCAACUUGUAAAGAAGGGAAUGAGUGACUAUGACUUUUCAUGUACGAUACUCAACUCCCUUCCUUCUUUAAUAACAUGACUUUUCAUAUACUAAACUCAACUCCCUUCCUUCUUUAAUAACAUGACUUUCGAAUAUAUAUAUCUAUAUGAUACGCGACUAACGGAUAUCUCCUUUCAGAUUCUCACUUUCAGAGUCAAUAGAUUCUCCCACAUGCGUCUAAUCGGUUUCAGUUCCGCUAUUGCUUUCUUUUCGGUUUCAGUUCUGUUAUUGCUUUCCUUGUGGCUUCCUCUCUCUCUCUUUCCUGAUGGUGAAUAACCGCUCUUUGAUUUUAUGUCGGAAGUUACAUCUAAGGGUAAAUAAGAGAUGGCAUCGAAAAGGAGGGCCUAAGAAAGAGUGUCUCGAUAAGGUGCGGAUGCCUGAUUGACCAUACUCUCCUUCGACACAGGAAGGGAAGCAUCGAAUUGCCUUAGUGGGAUAGCUUAGUUCAAUAGUGAGUUCUUAGUGGGAUGGGAUAAGCUUAGUUCAUUAGUUCUUUUCUAGUAGGAAGGAAUAAGGCGAAAACUUAGAGUUUGUUACAGCCCAGCCCUAAACUGAGUUUCAGAACGAAAGAAUCGCACAAUGGUGGAGAUGACCAGAAGCUUCUUAAAGAGAAGGGGCAAAGAAGGUUGCCUUGGAAGUGAUUCAGUUAGAGAGCCGGUUACCGAAAAGCACCUUUAGCUGGGGUCUAUCGAAGACGAAGAGGGGAUUCUUUCUCUCUUCCCCACAUCCACAAGACGAUGAAAAACAAAUAUAUGCCAUUCGAUUCUUUCCUAUUUAAUAAGAGAUGGGAAAGGCAAGGAGCGUCCAUAAGAUAAAGUAUAGAGCUGGAGUGGUUGGGAAGUAGUCUAUAAGAUUGAUUAUAGAUCUCAGGGGUCGGGAAUGAAUUACAGAGGACUGGGUUCAGGUCAAGAAUCCGGUAUACUUUUCUAUGUUGGUGCCGAUAUAAGUUCUUCAAGCUUCAAGUCGGAUGUUAGGUUACAUAAUGUUCUCAGAUGUAUAUUAGAUUCUUUAGAGUGGAGAGUUCUUUUACUUCAUUAUAGAAUCCGUGUGAAACAAAGCAACUCGAGGUGCACUUCCUUUUUCUAUUAACUUAUCCCUCCCAGGCUUUCUGAGACCUGUGCGAGAAAUGCCUUUAGCACGAAUUCGUCAGAUACGAAGCUCAGGGGUGGGAAUCAAUUUCUUAUAAUGACUUUUUGGUUGCUUUUCUAUUCUCUUCUCAUUCUCUAUCUAAUGAUAAAGAGAAAUAUCAAGUGCUCUUUUGUGUCUCAGUGAAGGCCAGGCCCCCAAUCCCUUCUUUAAAUGGAUCUUAUCCUGUGCUUAGGAUCACUCUGCGCCUAUGAACCCGAAAAAGGAGGUCGUUUUGAACUUCUUCUUUCUUCUAAUGAGGGAGAGGUCUCACUUCUUCUUUCUUCUAAUUAGGUCAUUCAUGUCAUGGCUCGCUCAGUUUGCUCGCGGGCGCCCAUUCCAGCCCGAGUUUGUGAAAGGAAGGCUAGAGAGGUGGGUCUCUCCUGAUUGAGUUCGCCAUCGUCCACAUCACUAGAUUCUAUCCCUUGCCCUAACUCUCCAUUUGGUGAGAAGGAAGUCAGCUUCAUCUUUCCACCCCUGCUGUCCAUCUCCGUUUCAAUUCUGCCCUCAUACACCUACUCCUUUCGGACUCGGUAAAGAAGCUAUCAGGUAAUAAAUCAAUCCCGGCAAACCACUGGAAUAUGAUCUUAUCUUGGGCAAACAAACAAUAAAUCCAUUAAUGAAUUUCAGAAAGAAGAGCUUAUUGUUCCAAUUAGAUACUAGAAAGAAUGGCAGAAGGAAUUAGCUAACUAUUACAAUAAACGAUUGAAAGAUUAACCGAUAUAGGAGUAGCCUUCCUUCUCUCUAUCACUCCUUAGAUGGGGAAUUCAUUCCUGAGAGGAAAGCAAAGGAGCUAAGAGCCUCUAUAUAAUUAAGCGGAAGAUUAAGUGAGGGAAAGGAAAGGCGUCGAACAUCUAAUCUAGGACCGGUCGCCUUUCUCAAAGAGUCUUUAUAUGCUAAAGCAUACAUAUACAUUAUUGGGGAAGUAAGGAAGGAACGCAGAAGAUAAGCCCUAUAGCAUUAUUUGGGAAGUAAGGAAGGGACGCAUAAGCCCAACACAAUAGCAUUAUUUGGGAAGUAAGGAAGGGACGCGGAAACCCACCCUAUAGCAUUAUGGAGUUCUGCGGUGAACUAAUCGCAUCAGGUAUUCUUUGAGUGUCGGAAAAACACGAAAAUGGUAAGCUCAGCUCCAGAGUCUUUUCACUGAAGACAGCUAUCAAGUUCGGCUCUUUGCAGUGCACAAGGCGGAGUUGGGACUGUGGUGAAGUCAAACAGUUCGGACGUGAGCUUGGGGACCUCGGCUUAAACCCACUAUCAGGUAUAAUAAAGGGCAGAAGGAAUGGGAAUAUUUUCCACCCACCAGCACCGACUCAGAUAGAGAUAGGAUCAAAUAGUACCAUAUAAGGGUCAGAUUCUCUCUUUCUAGAUCAAAUAGUACUAUAUGUUGGUCAGAUUCUCUCUUUCUUAGAUCACAGAGUACUAUACAGUUGGUCAGAUUCUCUCUUCUAUAAGAAGUGGUGUCAAUCAUUUUCAAUCCAAUAUGGAAUAGUGUAAAAACACAGCUUUGCUUCCCAAAGAGUCGCGGGGGGUCUGGUUCCACACAAGUAUUGGUAUUGCCAUGAAGCGUGGGCACUUAUUAAUAUUUGACUACUAUUCUCUUCUUCAAGCGUAGUGAAAGUCAAUUCCUAAUCCAGAGCACGCGCCUAUAGGCCACUAGUUACUCAGUUCAAGGUUAGCGCUGGGAAUGAAUGUUAACCAAUUGUAGACAGACAUUCUUUUCUUUCGGCUUUUGGAAGAUAGUCAAUAUGGUUAGUUAUGGUGUCCGUGGUCUUGUUCAAAUGCUUGAUUUCUUUCCUUCCGGGGCAGGAGCAAGAGGUCUGGCUGGCUCUUUUCCUGUUCCACUCAAGUCAUACAAUUAUUGUUAUCGGGGGUGCAUCUGUUGGGGGCGUAAGCGCUGUAGUGAGCUCCACUCGAAAGGCUUGCUGCACCAUCUCCUCGGAUUAGAAUUGGGAGCAAUAGUCGUAGCGGUGUAACUGUGACUUUCCUCUUUCAACAAAGCGAUAAGACUACUUUACUUUACUUCCUUUCCUUGGCUAGAAGAUAGUGAGUGCAUUGAUAUAGAUAAGUUGGAAUCUGAUAGUAAGUGCAUUGAUAUAGAUAAGUUGGAAUCUAGUCAGUGUGCCAAAUACUCUGAGCCAUAGCUUACCUCUUUCUUCUUAGACCGGUUCGCACCCAAAAGGAAUUCAUAAUUUGUGUAAGACAAGAGAGGUUCGCAGACGAGUGAUAGCAGUACAUAGGAAUAAAGAGGAUGAGUAGGAGUCUGUCUUCAAGGGAAGGAAAAGACCUAUAGCCCCAAGCCCCUUAUUGACCAAAGGAGAGUCAAAAAAGCAAAAAAGAAGGUGUUUAAGGCGGGUGCUCACGAGCCUAAUAAGCUGCUAUAGUCAUAAGCUGCUAUAGAUAUAUAGUGAAGUAGCUAAAUCCAGUUCAACUAGAGUCGGUGGGAAAAGAAACCCUGUCAUUCAGUUCCAAUCGAAAGGAAACCAUACUACUCAAAGAAAGUGAAGCACGCAAGUAAGCAAGCAAAAUCUUCUUCUUAUUAUGCCGGGACCCCAAUGCGCAACAUGAUACUAAGCUUAUUCCCUUAACAACUACUGGAGUUGGAGCUGGAUCUGUUGCAUAAGAAUCAUAAGCCUACAAUUAGAUAGCAAUAAAUGAGAUAAAUAAGGGAGUUUAGUAUCUUAUAGAAUAGGGUCAAGAAUCAGGAUCCUCAUAACCCGACCUAUAAUAGUCCUUUAACACCUGUAUACCAAUAUAAUGGCUAAUCCUACACAAACAAACUCUAAGGCGCUUAGGAACAAGCAAAACAAAGGCUUUCAACAAGUGAGGGAAAAAGUAAGAUGUUAGGUUACAAAUUCAUUCUAAGGAUUGUUUCCGAGUUUAGAUAGUGAAUUAGCUAUCAGAGUCAUUUCCCCGAGGCAAGCAAAAGAAUAGAGAGUUUUUGACCCGGUCAUUCGAGUCGAUAUUAUGAAAGUGGAACAGGAACAGGCCAACUUGUAGCAUCUUCUAUUGAAACAGCGGAUUCCAGAGUAGACUUUCCAUCUUAUACCGAUGAUCUUUCCACUUAUUCUUUACCUGUUUAUGCUUUUGCCUAUGAUUCUAGAUAGGAUUCUAUUGUCGACAAGAAAGGAGGCGAGAAGUUACUGUUAAUAAGUUCCAGAGGUCUUACCGAUCAGAUCACUACAAGGGGCUGAAGAACGACAUUCUCUACGACACCUUGCUUCAAAAGCACAAAGAGACUCAACUUCACUUGAGAACCUACCCUUACUUUAAUUCCCCGAACCUGUAUCCUUAUCCUUACGCUUACUUGAUACUUAAUUAGGCGGCUACCUUGGAGUUUGAGCUGAGACUAUUCCUUGCGCCAACUCAGGAUCCAUACUAUUCUCCAGAGUGUUCUUCUUCAUACGAUAUAAGUAGAACUGGGCAAAUAGAAACAGAUGACUUUCCAAGCACAAUAACUCUACUAGACUUAACAGGCACUGCCGAUUCUUCUAAUGUUCCUCUAAUACAGAAUACGGAGAUUUUGCUUAUCGCUUCAAAGCCUGUAAGAUGGUAUGUCUGCCCUGAGUCCGCCCUUCACCCUGCUUCCAAACCAAUACUCUGCUACUGACUCAACUGAAGCAUACCUCACUUCAAAGCCUAAGUACUCUCCUUGCACCCGAGCUCAUUCACUUCCCACAUCUUAUCGAGUAGACUGCUGGAUCUUUGACUCUAACUGCUUACUUUCCGGGCUGUAGUAGCUUGUCCAUUAGUAGUUACUUGUCUAGUCGUUGCUUGGCCCUUUCCUCGCAACAAAGCCUGCACUUAAUUCUUUUCUGCCUUGAACCCGCUCCUCAGCAUGAGAACGGAGAUUGAAGUUUACCUUACUUGCGCUUGAAACACCAGUACUUUCUUCUUCAACUCAAAUGGAAAGACCAUAUUGACUUAGUGCAUAAGAUGGAAUUGAGGCACGCACUGAACAAGCAAGGGUACAAACAAGGGCUUUCGAACAAGCAAAUCUACGAACUCCGUUAGCUUCGGUGUUUGUUUACUACUUUUCUAUACUAUAUGUCAGUUCAACUUCAUUCUGAAUAUUGGACCUCUUAGUUGGAUUUUCUUUCUCUCUUAGUUUCAUUACUUACUUAUUCUUUACUUAGCGCUUCAAAGUCUUUAAUAGCUUAUAGGAAACGGAUCCUAAGAGAGCUUCUGAUCUUACUGCAACACUCGAACCUCUAUAUACUUAAGUACUUAGCGCUGAAGCACUUACUAUAAGAUCUCGGCUACUAACGGAGUUAGCUGAAAAGUGCUUAUAAGCUGUUGCUUGCUCGGCUACAAACUAUCAAUUUGCUUGCUUACUUUGUCUCUGGGUGGUCAGGUCAACUAACCUUCCUUCGCGACGUAGCAUCUGAUACUGGCCUGGCGCGCGCUGAGCUGAAUGACUAACUUCUUUUCAAGCUCCUGUAUCUUUGGCUUCUUCACCGGAUCUGGCUUCUGAUCGAGGAGUCGACUUCACUGGCACUGCUUACUUAUACGAUGAAACUCCAACGGAGAUUCUACUUGAACCCCAACUCCCUACCCUAAUAACUCGGUUAAAGCAAAGGGAAGGUAAAGAACUGAGCUCUACGAUUUAAAGCCAAUAAUAGAACUCGACUUGACAGUGCAGUCUCGUAUACUUUCUUCGCGCCGAACCUCUCUCUAGUUCAACACAAGAAGGAACUCCAUGACAAUACUGGAACCUAUAUAUACGACAAGGAGUGUAAGUGGAACUAGAAGCAAGGCAACAAUCAUUCUAUACUUGAGCCUAGGGUAUACUAAGUAUAGAAACUUCUAAAGAUAUUGCAUUCUCCUUCUUUUGAAUCUGACUGGCUUUGAAACAAGGUGUACUUAAUAUGAGUAUCCUUUAGUUCGAGAGGAAAGUAUAGUUCGCCAAUUGUUCUAGUAUAGUAUAGAACUAUCAGGUAAUCCGAAUAAGAUAUGAGAGUUGGGUGAGAGCUUGAGUUUAGAGGAGAGUCUGUUUGCUUUGGUUGGGUUUACAGCUGACUUUCUUUUCCCUUGGUCCAACUGCUUAACGUUAAGAAAGACAGACCUCUUGGCUCUAAAUAGAUGGGCGUUAGCACUUAGGCAAAGUAUGAACUUAUGAAUUGAUUGAGUGGAAACACCUAAAAGAAAAAGGAAUUGAUUGAGGCAGAUGGAUCCUAGACAAGAGUACUCCAUUAGACUCAAGUACAACAUUCUUAUUGCCCCUUGGUUGUUGCCUAAAUUGGGAUUAGUAGUGGAAUUCUGUAAUUCUACCUUGCAACUUAGUUCUAUUCCCCAGCUUCCUCUCCUUCUUACUUAAAUGCUUACCGAGCCUACCCGCCAAGUAACAACUGUAGACUAGCCUCAUUCAGUUAGCAGAGAGGAGCCGAUACUUCUCUUUCAACAAGCCCUGCUGCUGGCAACUGUUAACUUCCUGCUGUAACUAAAAUAAGUGUUACUAAAAUAUACCACAUGUAACUAAAAUAGAAAACUGCUAACCAAUUGACUUAAGGGCUUGAACUGGGGCAGUACUAGGUAGGCGCUCUCCUUACUUACCUAGCUCAUGACUUCCUUCCCGCUGCAGAAGCACAUUCCCCACGACUAGAAAGAUCUACUCAAACAUUCAUUUAUUAUUGAGCACAUGGGUCCUGAGAUAGAUGAAAAGAAAUACACUGCUUCAGAUACUUCUCUCAAUCCCGCUCCUUAUCUAGCUUAUACUUAUUAUCCUUAUUAUUUUGACUCCUUAACCAAGAACAGAAAGAGACUAGUAGCCAACAACAAUAUGCGCUUCUAAAGUGGAGUUCGACAAAAGAGGGAUGGUGUGGCCUCGCUCGCCAUAGUAAAGUUAGUCAAGUCAGAAUGGAGUUUACAAUUGAAAUGAAUGAGCUGCGCCCGGGGGCCAAGCGUAUACUAAGUCCUUAGUUGGAGGCUCGUCUCCUUUAUUACCAAGUCCUUUGUUCCUACCCAUUUCGAAUAUCUCUUACACAUAUCUCUUUGCAUAAUAUAGACUUACAGAGCGGUAAACAAAGCUUGAAUAGCCUCUUUAUACUUCAACAAGAGCAUAACUUCUAACCUUCACCUAUUGCUUUGAAAGCCAUUGCUUUUUCUUUCCCCUCUCGCGAGCUACUUAACGCAUGGUUGCUUGUUCUUACGCGGAAGACAGGAAUUCCACUUUCCUUGUUGCUGACUUAGCGCUUGCAGCUUGCUUCAGUCUUAACGGAUUCGCUGUUUUCAGAUCCCGAUUAUCCAACGACUCAUUCUAUGUUUUUCCUAUAUAGAUAAGGAACAGGAGUUUUUGAUAAGAAGCUGUGCGCCAAGGUAAGCUUCAAGUAGUUCUUUAAGUGGAGUUCUGAAGUCAGGUUCAGAUAAUUGUGUUGGUGGCAUAAAUCUAAGUUGAGUGUUCUAGGUGUAUUCCCAAUUAUAGAUGUAUAGAGCAUCAGUUCUGAAUUUGAUGUUUGACACUUUCCUGCUUGAAUUGACUUUCCCUUUGCACUCUUGCUUGCUUAUUUGGAAUUGAGUGUAAAAGUGUUUUCAUCGACCUACUUUACUUAACUAACAGAUGAAGAAGAAGCUGGAUCGGGAUAAUCAGCAGAGUUGUAUCUAGGAACAGGCUAAAGUCGUGAUGUUCUAUUCUUGGCUUUACGUCGUGGAGAGGGGAGAGUCGCGCCAUUGUUUGUUGUACUUGCUAUCUUUGCUUGCAUACUUAAGGGAAUUGUUAGGCACCCACCCACGGCCAAAGAGCUUACUUUAGACUUUUGCUUUUAUUGCUGGCAUUGCUGACGCAACUAUAACGUCACUCUUAUUUCCUUGACUUUUAUUGCUGCUUACACCACUGAUUAUCGAGUUGACUUUCGUGCUUCUGAUCCACGGAUCCUGCUUUUUGAACUCUACCACUUGCUUAAUUCAAAUAAGCUUUAUUGGCACCCCUUGACUUACUUGACUCUUGACUUACUUACUACUUCACUCUUGACUUACUUACUAUAAGUAACCAGACUGCUUACUUUACUUAACUAUCUAUAGAGGGAAUCAGACUGCUGACUUCUUGGGGAACAAGCUACUACCGGCUUUAAGGCUGUGUUAACCACUAGGUUCAUUCUGAAAGCAAGAUGAAGCGUUAAGUGAGUGAAGACUGAUUGGCUGCGGUUUGAUUCUGAUCUUAGUAGUUUGUGCACUGCUUCAUUCUUUCAUUCCCCGGUUUUCUUCUUAGGCUCCUACUAGCUCACCGAUGAGUCCCAUUCUUAUACUGCUGAGUUGCAUUCUGUGAUUUACUGGUUUGGUUCUUAGUCUGCUGAGUUUGAUUCUUCCUUUCCUACUUGAUUGUUGAAGACCUAGUUGACUCCGGUUUACUAUAUAAAGAAUAGUAGUAAUUAUGGGCCAAGUAACUACUAAUCUAUAUAAAGAGAAAGAGCCGAGUAACUACUAAUCUGUCUUCGUGCCCAGCUCCUCCAUUCUCUAUUGACUACUAUGCUUAACACAAGCACCCGAGACUUCCCUUCCAAUGAGCACCAACACAAGCACCAAACAAGUCUCUUUGAAACACAAGCACCGAACCCGUCUCUGUGAACUCUUUCUCCUCUACCUAAGUAAACUAAUUCUGAUUUCUUACCCUGACCCGACCUCUCGACUUCCUCUGUGAACUGAACUCUGUCUCCCCUUUCUUGACUUCCCACAACAAGCUUAGGGCCAAGCAACGUUGUAAGACCAAGCCACUACUCACCCUUACCAGAGUAUAAGAACACUCCCCCGUAGUAUUAGUUUAAGACCGCCCCUACUCUUUGGGACAGUCAAACCCUGAUUCUCUUUCUUCCCUUUCCAUUGAUCGGCGAGGAAAGCAGUAAUAUAAGUGGGCACCAAAAUAAGGACUUGCUCUUAAUAAGGGAAGCCCGGGCAUAAAAGAAAGGUUCACUCUAGACUCAUAAGUACUGGUUAGAAAGAAGCUAGUCUGGUAGUUCUAAUGUCUGAAUCCGGACUUGGUAAUAACCUUAGGAUAAGUUGCUCUGUCACAUUCCUCUUAUUUAUAGGUGAAAACACAGGGGCAAGCAACGUAGCUAGUGACAAAAGCCAGCAGUAGUGAGUGACUUCAGUUUCUCUUUCUUUACCAAGCCUCUAUACCGUGUGUUACUUAUCGUCUGACUUUUAGUAAGAGACCAGUUCUAGUUCUAAAGUCAACUUAUUCAUGCCCUGUUCGAGAGGGUGAGCAAGGUUUAGUUCCAGACUUAAAGGCGCUAAGCUCGAAAGAGGUUAUUCAUUUGAUUGUUUUUCUCAGAUCUUCCCAUUUUAUUCAUCCCAUUGGAUUGGAUUCUGAAGUAAACUAACAACUCCUCUGUAAACUCACUACUCCUAUGUAAACUAAGUCAGUAAACCAGAUCAGUGCAGGAACCACAAAGUAAGUAAACUAAGGAAGUAAACCACCCGACCUCUGUUAUUGAUUAGUCACAAGUGCUUCUAUACCUAUGGCUCCGAUACCUAAGUCAACUAAUGGAAUUCCCUUCUUCUUUCUUGCUCUAGGGUACGGGUGGCUUGGCUCGAUAACAAGUAUAAGCAGUGAGUUGAGUAGUUAAUGCCUUAGUAGUAGUGGGUAGUUAAUGCCUUAGUAGUAGCGGAUUGGCUAGUAGUGUCUUGGCUGAGUUUAUUAUUAUAGUUGUGUUUGAGGCCUUGGCUCUCCGAGUUACUUGUCUAGUAGUUGUUUGGCCUCUGAUAUUACUCUAUUCCUUUUCAAUACCCGAGUUAGAAGAGAUGGAGGCAAGAAAAGAAGAAUGUACUGGUAAACAUCUGGACUUACUACUUGCUUGAAUCCUUAGAGCUGUGGUUUGGUUAGUUACCGAGAAUACAUAACUUGAAGGUAAGAAAAAGAAGAAUGAGCUCUGUAUCAAAGAAAGGAAACUCCAUUAAGGUAUUCUGACUUAAGCCAAAAGUCACUACUACAAAUACUAAGAAAGGAAGGAACUAUUAUGUGGAGGAAGGAACAAGCAGAGCGUGACAAGCAACAGUAUCAGGAGAAGAUUCAGUUCGGGAAUAAGAUGGAUCUGGAGCAAUAGAUGGGUGUUAGGUUUAGUUAUAUCUAUAUUGGGGUGGGAGGCAAUACUCUUCCCAUACUGUUUCAUCCCCUGGAAUUGAACGUACUUUGUCAGGGCAAGAAGGCAGACUCAGCAGACUACUGAAGGAGCAGUGCGAUUAGAGUCUCGGGUACCUAUACAAGAGCAGAGGUCGAGUCAACCACUACAGGGGAAAGCCAAUUAGUUCCACAUAAAGAAAGGAGAACGGCCAACUAGUAGUAGUCUAGACUUACCGCAAUUUGUACAUUAAUUAAUAAGCCUAGUAACUGACUUCGGGCUUACUCCUUCACUACUGAGUUCCAUUCUUCCUUUCUAGUUUCGAGCACUAGGUUCUAGAUACGUUGGUUGUCUCUUUUUCCUAUAGGUGUUUUUCAAGUGUUCAUAUCCCAACUAAGUAGCAGCUUAAUAGCGUUAGUGAGCUCAGGCAUAGAAACAAGUGGAUACCCCGCUCCUUUCCUUCUCUUUCAACUUUAACUACAUAUUCUCUUUCGUCGCUAACAACAAUAAGAGGAACAACAGGACAUUCUUUUCUCUAAGACAAAACAAGAACACUACUUGAAGUUCAUCAUUGAAUUUCAUAUCUAUCUUAUCGAGCACAAGGUAUAGAAGAAGACUGUAAAGCUUAUCGAGCACAAGGUAUAGAAGAAGACUGUAAAGACACAACUUACCUACCCUUCUUUGGAAUCUGAUCUAUGACUUGCCCCAACACCAACAAGCGCCACUGACCUAACAGCUUUCCUUGCCGACCUCCUCUUUCAGUUCAGAAAAUCCGAUUGAUUGAAGAUUCCCUCUUGUAUACUAACAACGAGCUUCUUUCCCUUGAGACUAAACCUGCGCUGGAGAAGGGGAAGAGCCAAGCUACUCUAAAUCUGGUGUUACAAAAGAAGCAAGGGAACCCGCAUAAAGCCUAAAAGAAUGCAAUUGAAAGCGAAUUUCCGAGUUUCCAUCAUUUCCACUAAGAAACUUGCCAACGAAUGCAUUUCUGCCUAUAAUCUUUAUGGCCUAUAAACUCUCAUAUCUUCACCUCUGAUUCUCUAACUACUGUUCCACUCUGCAACUCUUGUAUGAAACCUAAUCUUCCACUCAGGCAUUCCUACAAAUAAUCAUAAGGGAUCAACUAACCACGCUAAAACAUCUUCUGAACCCCCACCUUGCUCGUCUCGAGUCACUGUCCCUCUUUCAGAGCCUCGUCUAUUAUUAGAAAGAGCAAACACACUUCCUUCUCUGGGGACUAGAAUUCCAGUAUGGAAGGUGGCAUGGGUAGAUUCGAUUCGAGGGUUGGGCUUACGGAUAGAAGCUAGGGUAUCAUGCAAGUGGUUAAGAACGGAAAGUCGAGAGAGGAGAGGUCGACAAAAGAACCAGCAAGGGAACCAGUAUCUGGCCGGAAGUAUCCUUCUGUUCUCAAGUAAUCAUGGAGAUUGGUUAGUUACCCGAUUCUAUCAUGCCUAGGUCGAGAACAAGACUGAUUCCGUUACGGAUCUAUCUUCUGCUGGAACUCAACUUUACUGAGCUACGGGCUACAAGAGCAAUCCAAUCACCUAUUUCUAGAACAAGGUAAGGAGGCUACGCACUGAACCAACUCACUACUCGGUCGGUUAAGGCUUGAAUACCAGAUUGAGAUAGUUUUAGGCGAGGUGGGCCAAGGAAAACAACCAAGCGACUAUACAAGUCACUACUACAGUGAGUUAUUCGCAAGUACAGCAUCAAAGAAAGUCACUUGAAGUAUGGAAUGCAUCACUCAAUGAGUCAGUAUAUGAAUGAUGCAUCACUCAAUGAGUCAGUAUAUGAAUGACAUUUGUAAGCUCUCUAUGUAGCUGCUUGUUAUCAACAAUUUCGUUCUCCUUUUUGGUUUUGGUGGUGGUUCGAGUUUGCGCUGGUGGGGGAAGCGGGGAUAGUCAUAUUCUAUGGGGAAGCAGGGAUAGUCAUCUUCUAUUGUUGAUUAGAUCUUUCUGAUUAUUGGUUUACUACUAUUUAUUUCCAUGAAAAUGGUAGGACGUCAUAUAGCACCACAGGCGAGAAACCUAGUUGAUCCAUAUAGCCUGCCUUUAAGGGGUUCCGUUCAAGGAGUUACUUAGUUGAGCUCGGGUUUUGAGUGAACAGUCGCUUUCCUAAUAAAUGAAAUACAUUCUCAGAAUACUAUUCGGUAGCCGAGUUGGUCUGACUCAGCAAAUGUACAAAGAAAGCGGGCAUCUCCACGAUAUACUAAGCCUGCGUGAUCUCUCAUCCCUCCGACCCACCUAUGCUUAUAUUAUUCCCUUCACUGGUUUAUCGACGAGUCUACUGGCAUCUCGAGCUGUAGUAUAUGUCACUGAAAAGAUAUGCCACUAGACCAGGUGCUCUUGAGAAAGGCAACGAACCUUAUAACGGGGGGUUUCAAUUGAUUCUUAUGAGGGGGAUGCAUCUAAAUACGCGUAUGGAACCACAAUCUCUGCCGCUAGCUUUGCACUCGUAGGAUAAGCAGGUCCCUUGGUGGAACCGAGCGAAGUGCGGAAGCUAGAGCUAAGGCAAGGUACGAAGCUACCAGCAAUUAAGCUGCUUUGGUAGUACUCGACAGAAAGGAUAGGGCUUUGCUGCUGCUGUCCAACAAGUUUCAGAGUUUGCUAAAAAAGACAAGUAAGGAGCGAGUCAGGUCUACUCCACGUAGCCAAGUCUUGUCAAAGCCAAAAAGGCUCUUGCCAAACUAAAACCAGUUCCUAAAGGACAGGAAUAGCUAAUCCGCAAGCUAGAAAGAAACAUAGAUGAGAUUACACCCCUAUCAGUGCAACGGCCGCUUUCUCCCCAACUAAAGCCUAAAAGAGGACAGGGCAUAAGCACUCUUAUACCUGGCCUUAGACUGCUACGGUUAGCUCUUGACCCAGGACUGGCUAUCUCUCAAUCAAUGUAUUCACGCAUCUCGAAAGAGUGAAAAGCGAAUUCCCUACCAGAGCGGAAAUAGCCGGGCUUCUUCAAAGGGAAUGCUCACUCUCCGGGUAAGGCAAGGCUAACGUUAGAAAAGUUGUUCUAUUCCUCAGUCUGGUUUGCGGAAUAAGUAAGCAUGAAGCUUGCCUGAGAAAAGCCGUAGAAAGAAAAGAAGGGCGGAAGCUACGAGUGAACCAGAUCGACCUGAGAGGGAGUCCCAGGAAACGGUAUACGAAAGAAGGUCUACUUUACGGGGAUGGAGUGUGCAGACUUCGGUUGAAGCGUCCAGACUCCGUUAGUGAAAAGAAUAUAGGACUAAGAUAAGAAGAUCUGUUUCUCUUAAUCAGAGCGCAUUCGUCUCGUCUAUCGGUCCUUAGUCUUAGAGAGAAAUUGGUGGUGGCCACUACGUCAAGAGAAAAUCUGCUCUUUCGAUUCUAUUUUCCUCGAUGAGUUGAAGGGACUCCGAAGCUUCGACCGUACCCUCUUUCUUUAGUAGCGAGUUUCACUUGAAAGAUAUCAUUGAUUUUCACCAAGAGAGAAAGUAGAAGCGCUAACUCACUAGACGAACAAUCGACCCUAGGGAUCGACCCGAUUCCGCCUGCGAACAUCACUUCCUAUAGUUUAAGGUAAUGUUGGGGUCUGCCGCAUCUGAUUCCCCAGAAACGAGAAACCUUCACAUCAAUGAAGGAAUGCAAGUCCUGUUUUCAGCAAUAAGUAGCUCUCAAUCAGGCGUUCAAACAGGAUUAAGGGAAGAGAAACAAGAUUAUCCGCGUUAACAGGAGUUGUUGAAUGAUUAGUUUACUCAACAGGCUAAAGGGAAAGGAAAGUAGAAAGCGUAGAAAGAAGCUCGGCUCGGGCUCGGAUCGUGUAGUAUAGAAAUGGGGUAAUUAGAGCAUCACAGUGCAGAAAUAGAUGUUUGAGUUGACCACUUCAUAUUUGUCAGGGAAAGAUUCCCGUCCGGGUUUCGGCUAAGGUGUGAGGCGCUAACUGAGUUAAUAGGUAUAGGUGUAUUCCUUCAAGGAGUUAAUAGGUAUAGGCUUUCAGCACCUUCAAUAUAUAGCUUCAGUUCAAUCUCAUUCCGCACGUAAGGAAGUUGCCAUAUUCCAUUCUUCACUGAAAAGAGGUAAGUCAACUUCAGAUUGAACUCCUCUCUUGAACUCCUAAGAUACGACUUUCUUUCUUGACCUAGUUAAGUACUACUUGCUUUCUUGCCCUAGUAGUAGCGCUAUGUGUUCGGGAGAAAGAGUUCAAAGAUACUGAGUUUUCAGCCUUAAUGAGUAGGGGAGCCCUGUCUACCAAACUUUCAUUCUCUCUUAUAUCAGAUUCAAGAUGAAACAAGGGAUUUUCAUUAGAUACAAGGGAGCAGGAAGGUAUACACGCGUGGUAUCUCUUCCCCUAAGGAGAAUCUGGAUUUUGACUAUUCUGUAUUCUGACUUUGUAGUGGAAUUCUUUCAUAUACGAUUUCAUCUCUAGAUACUGCAGACAGAUUAGUAGUGACUUUGCUCUGGUAUUCUUACUUAAGAGAACUACUUUCAACUACUAUACAAGCAACUUCAACUAGAAAGGAUUAUUCUCUCGGCUAGGCUUCGGCGGAUGACUUAACUGCUUCCCUUGCCUAGGUACUAGAAAUAGGCGCAAUAGGAAAUAGCAAGUAGGUAGUGGCUUUUCAAACGGAUAUUCCCGGGGCAGGAGCGGUUCGUUCUAGUUUGUAAGCCUACAGUAAGUGCUCUAUCGGUCCGGAUCGAUCAGCUCGCUUUCAAGACAAGAGUGAGUGGAAUUCUCUCCUUUCUAUAUUCCUGUCUAACCUAUCUUCAGUAAGACAAAUAGGGAAGACAUCACAUAACAUAGAGUCCAUCGCUUCCACCCUGGUGGUCUAACUCACCGCUAUGGUAAGCCUUAGGUAAGGAAUAACUUAUCCGGGUUGUCUACUCGUCAGGAAGUGGAACUACUAAUUAAUGGGAAGCUAUUGAGUCACCCUAGAAGCAAGAGNNNNNNNNNNNNNNNNNNNNNNNNNNNNNNNNNNNNNNNNNNNNNNNNNNNNNNNNNNNNNNNNNNNNNNNNNNNNNNNNNNNNNNNNNNNNNNNNNNNNNNNNNNNNNNNNNNNNNNNNNNNNNNNNNNNNNNNNNNNNNNNNNNNNNNNNNNNNNNNNNNNNNNNNNNNNNNNNNNNNNNNNNNNNNNNNNNNNNNNNNNNNNNNNNNNNNNNNNNNNNNNNNNNNNNNNNNNNNNNNNNNNNNNNNNNNNNNNNNNNNNNNNNNNNNNNNNNNNNNNNNNNNNNNNNNNNNNNNNNNNNNNNNNNNNNNNNNNNNNNNNNNNNNNNNNNNNNNNNNNNNNNNNNNNNNNNNNNNNNNNNNNNNNNNNNNNNNNNNNNNNNNNNNNNNNNNNNNNNNNNNNNNNNNNNNNNNNNNNNNNNNNNNNNNNNNNNNNNNNNNNNNNNNNNNNNNNNNNNNNNNNNNNNNNNNNNNNNNNNNNNNNNNNNNNNNNNNNNNNNNNNNNNNNNNNNNNNNNNNNNNNNNNNNNNNNNNNNNNNNNNNNNNNNNNNNNNNNNNNNNNNNNNNNNNNNNNNNNNNNNNNNNNNNNNNNNNNNNNNNNNNNNNNNNNNNNNNNNNNNNNNNNNNNNNNNNNNNNNNNNNNNNNNNNNNNNNNNNNNNNNNNNNNNNNNNNNNNNNNNNNNNNNNNNNNNNNNNNNNNNNNNNNNNNNNNNNNNNNNNNNNNNNNNNNNNNNNNNNNNNNNNNNNNNNNNNNNNNNNNNNNNNNNNNNNNNNNNNNNNNNNNNNNNNNNNNNNNNNNNNNNNNNNNNNNNNNNNNNNNNNNNNNNNNNNNNNNNNNNNNNNNNNNNNNNNNNNNNNNNNNNNNNNNNNNNNNNNNNNNNNNNNNNNNNNNNNNNNNNNNNNNNNNNNNNNNNNNNNNNNNNNNNNNNNNNNNNNNNNNNNNNNNNNNNNNNNNNNNNNNNNNNNNNNNNNNNNNNNNNNNNNNNNNNNNNNNNNNNNNNNNNNNNNNNNNNNNNNNNNNNNNNNNNNNNNNNNNNNNNNNNNNNNNNNNNNNNNNNNNNNNNNNNNNNNNNNNNNNNNNNNNNNNNNNNNNNNNNNNNNNNNNNNNNNNNNNNNNNNNNNNNNNNNNNNNNNNNNNNNNNNNNNNNNNNNNNNNNNNNNNNNNNNNNNNNNNNNNNNNNNNNNNNNNNNNNNNNNNNNNNNNNNNNNNNNNNNNNNNNNNNNNNNNNNNNNNNNNNNNNNNNNNNNNNNNNNNNNNNNNNNNNNNNNNNNNNNNNNNNNNNNNNNNNNNNNNNNNNNNNNNNNNNNNNNNNNNNNNNNNNNNNNNNNNNNNNNNNNNNNNNNNNNNNNNNNNNNNNNNNNNNNNNUGCGCGUCCCAAAGCUUUAAUAGAGAUGCAAGUACUGUGCCUAUGACCUAAUCCUUAUUACUUCUAUUCUUCCUCAAUAAGGAAAGAAAACUCCCUUUCUUUCUCUAUUCCCCCUCGGAUAUAACUUGAAACUAUCCUUGUCUCGUGAUCUACUCAAUCAAUGAUCUUGAAACACUGCGAAUUCUUUCCUUUAUGGCAUGCCAAAGCAAGGUAAGCGAUCUAUUCUAUCAAUUGUAUUUCCAAAGAAUGCCAAAGCAAGGUAAGCGAUCUAAUCUAUCAAUUAGCCUACGGAACCAAAGCUGCAUCCAUGCCCCCGACCUUGGAUCUUGGAAAAUGUAGGUAUACUCACUGAAGCAAGCACUAGUGAAGGAAAGACGUACAGCGAAUCUGGAACAUCGGGAUCUUGUUCACUCUGACUACGUAACCUGUACUUUGCCUAUUACCUCAUAUCCUAAGCUAAGGCAAAGAGCGGAUUCUCCGACAUUGAUCUGACUGUUGACUCUAUGCUUUUUCCUAAGACAGUGGAUUAUCCAUCUAAGACAUCCUUUUCUAGGCCACGCAUCAGACUAGGAAUUCCAAAGCUCCGAGUUAGCUGCCCGACAGAUAAUAUCAUACCGGCCACUCCCUAUUUCUCUUUCUUAUAAUAUCAUACCGGCCACUCCCUCUUUAUCUUUCUUUAAGGCAAAGUUUCAUUGACGAGCGGAUCUUGGACUUGCAAUCAUUGAGUUAAGAUUCCGAGCUGCCCCUGAAUUCAUCCAAUUCUUUCCUGGGAAGGGCUAACAUCCGCCAAUUCCAUGACUUUACUUACUUCUGAUUUGGAAUGAAUCAUCCAAUGAAUAUCCAUCCUUCAAGGCUUUCUAAGGGCUAACGGAACUUGCUUUCUACUGGGAUUCUUUCUUUUAUCAAGGUUUUCCUGAAAGCACUUACUCAAUGCUAACCUCUAUAACCAAAGAAAAGAGCGGAUCUCUGCUUACGAAUGCCAAAGCUCUCUAUCCCCGGUACCAUCCUUCUUGAUAUUUCCCAUUGGCUUUACCUUAUUUACAGGUCGACUUCAUGGCAGCAAGAAAAGGCGAUCUUAUCCUAUACUCUGGUGAUCUCUUUACUACCGAGGCAGGCAAACUCCCAUCGUGUCCCAGAUCCAAUUCUUUAUCUCUAAAAAGGGAAGCCUACUCAUCCAUUAGCUCUUCUCUACGAUCGGUGCGGUUUGUUUGACGAAGCGUCUAAGUUAACUAGCCUUGAUCAAUGUUGAUGCUGACUAAAGCUGACCUCUUCUCUUAUACACUGAUAGCAUUCUUUCCCACACUUAAUACCUCCUUUUCCUUAUUCUUUAGGUAAGGCUUAUAGAGGGCCAGGCAUAGUGGGAGCAUCCUGUCGACAAGAUAUUUGGCUUGACCAAUCCGUGCCCUCCAAGUCGAAUGACGUUUUCACCGAAAUCACUUCUUGCGCUAUAAAUGCCUUUCCCAUUUUAUGACCAGAUAUUGUUUCUUUAUAUUUCCUUUGAAAAGUGGUCUCGGGACUUUUUCUCAAUAGGAGGUUAUCAUUGAAUAUAAGACAGAGUCAUUCUGGCAAUCAAAUCUUCCUUCCGGGUGUAAGGCGUAAGCCCCAGAAAUAUGGUGCAAAAAUAGGGUGCGGAUCGAAUCACUAUGCCUAUCUUAGUAGUCUUUCUUAUUGGAGGACUCCUAUUCCUCUGAUAUUGAUAAGAAGCAUCCAGCAGCUCGUUUAGAAUUCGAUUCAAAGUCAAGUCUCACCUUCACCUUUAUGGGUUGUUGUCGAAGAAAGUUUUCAAUACUAGCUCUUUCUUGAUUUCUCCGAAAGGUAUCUUUUGAUAAAUAGAGAUAGACGCCUAAGUAAUAAGAACGGAAUACGAAACUUCCCCAUUAUCCAUACUAUAGAGCUAGGAGGAAGGCUAUGAAGGAAUUCCUUAUACGAAUUAGGAUUGUACCCAACCAAAAGAACCCUUCGGGCGGCAGAGGAAAAAGAAAGGAGAAACGAAACCCCUGUGACCGGUUGGCUGUGUGCGCCACGGAGAAGAGCCAUACCCUGAGGAAGCUUACCCAACUCAGCGCGCCAAGCUCGAAAGUCACUAAGAGACAAGUCGACAACUAGGUGAAUUCUGUUACUACUGAGUAAGCCUACAGAUUGCCCGAACUGAGUUACUACUUAGGAGUAAGCCCACUGAUGAGAGAUAGAACUUCUACUUAUGAGUAAGCCCGAACUCAUACUUAUGAGAGAUAGAACUCACUGAUACAUUAUUAUAGAAUGUCGUUGCUUGUUAGCCCUCUUGUUAAUACUGAGAUGAUUUCCCGCCUUCCCCUUUACUUGACUUUAAGUAAGCUGUGUUUUUCAUAAAUUCUAUCUAAUGGGAAGAGACAUGUAUGAUUAUUGUUCUGUUAUUUACUAGUGGAGUUAUUUUCUUUGAUUAGUUAUCGAAUAUCAGAGUGAUUUCCAUAGUAUUGGGUGCGGGUCAAAAGGAUCUUAUAGAAACUGUGCCUAAAUUCGAGCCAAGCGUAUACUAAUGCUAAAGGGCCGCUAUGAAUAAUGACAAAGUAGUGCUCUUCAUUCUGAUCAAUUCUGAAAGUAGGUGCUCUUAAUUCUCUUAAAGUAGUGCUCUUCAUUCAGAAAUUCUCCAUUCUGGAAUUAUUACUUGUGCAGGUAAAGUGUCUUUCUCUCUGUGCUAAGGUUAGCUUGUCGGGUUGGGCAAGAAGGAAAGGAACACGUAUACGGAGACUUAAUUCCAUACCUGAGUCGAGGUAGAUGAGAAAGCUGCUCCUUAGUGAAUAUAAGAAUCAAACCGGGGAUAGGAUCCUUCAAGUUGUAGUCCAGGCCCUACCUAUACAGGUCAAACAAGUAGGUGAUUCUGAAGCGGGGGAAUCGAAGUUGUAUCAGAAGCUGGAAGUAGAGAAUUGUUGACAGUUGCCAGAGAUAUAGGAGCCUUAGAAGGGACUUCAGAAUAAGGGAGCGGGUCUAAAGUCUCAGUAGUUCAAAUGAUUAUUAUAAGAUUGAAUUGACAAGUCAAAAGAUACUAGCAUAAGUUCAAGGGCCAAGCAACGGCAGGAUCUGAAGCAGUUACGUAUCAGUGCAAGCCAGGUCUGAAGCAGUUACGUAUCAGUGCAAGCCAGAGUCGAGGUAGAGUAGAAAGAGAGCAGUAGUGCUAGGGAAGGAAAUCAAUAAAGUCUAGUGAGUUUGAGUUCAAAGAGCCAGAGUAGAGCCAGAAAACCGCAUCUUCUUCCCUAAGUAAGCAAAAGGGAAGCAGUUCAGUAAGAAGGAGAGCCCAGUGCCAGUAAUAGUUCUAGGUCUAGUUUCACCUAUAAUAGCAUCCGUUUCCGUUCAAAGAUCUUAAGCUGUGCGGUAUCAAGGUGCAGCAUCUCUUUACGGUGGUUGUGUGAAAGCAUCUCAUUCCUCUGUUGAUGAAGCAGAAGCAUUCAAAUAAUGGAUUUCAUCUUUGUCUCCGGGUGGGGGUGGCUUUGGAGUUCUGUUAGCGAACGACUUUCCUUUCCAGGAAUUUCAACUCCCGUUAGCACAACGUCUUGUAUUGUUAUAGUUUAAGAACAGAUUGCAGCUUCCUUUAGCCUCGCAAAUACGGAUUCCACUCAGGAUUCCACAAUCCCUCUAUCUUCUUCACCAGAGUAUAGGCUUGCUUUAAUUGUCAAUAGCUUGUGAUUCGGAGUUGUCGACCAAGGAAUAGAGUAUGGAAGUGGAACACAGUCGAGUCUGCUCUCCAGGCUAUCUAAGACCUUUUCCGCCCAGAAGUUGGGUAAGACCUUUUCUGUAUGACCAAAGGAAUUAGGGCCUAUGUAGGAAGACCCUCCCCGCAAGAAAUCGGUACUUUCGAGAAGUUAGUCAAAGAGAAUGCCGACGCUGGAACUGUGGAGGCGACUCCUAUCCGGCGUAUUAGUGGUCGAAUUACUCUAUCUAUACAAGUCCGUUUUCAGAGACAGACUGACAAUGGCCUUCCUUUCUCUGCAUGAAAUAAAGCCUUUACAUACAAGGAAAGUUGUGUUCUAAUCUAUUGAGAACUCGGCAGCAAGGAAAUAUCUAUUGAUGACUGGGGGAGCAAGGAAAUCGAUUUACUGGGCAGCAAGGAAGGAGUUAGGUUACAAUGAACGAACUGCUUAUUAGAGAAAUAUCUCGACGGAGGCUCUUGCUUUGGUCUGUCUUUAGGGGAUUGUUCUUCACAGAGUUGGAUUCCAUUUCCUGAUAAAGAGAGAAAAGGAAAAACCUUCACGUAGCGCGGAUAUACUUGACAGAGUCGAAAGAGAAGGAAAGAUGUCAGGUUGGUUCAUUUUGUUCGGAAGAAACACUCCAGCUUGCUCAUUGGAAAUAGCCCGUAGCUUGCCCGUUGCUUGACAGCUUGCCGGUUCAGAAUGUUAUUAAUAAAGCAAUUGAACUUGCACCAAGUAUAUAAGUUGGUAAGAUUACCGAUGUUUCUAUACAAGACGGUAGACUUUAUAUAAGAGAUAUUGUUUUGAAAUAAGCAAGUUAGGAUCCGAAGUCGGUGUUAUAGAAUUAGAUACAAGAGCUUAAGCCUUAGCGCGGGUUGUUUUCAUUGAUCCGAUCUUGUUUCAUUGUUGUUAACAAAGGAAUCAUAUUUGUAUGCCCCGGUAUGGUAGGCUUAACUACUCAGUCACUAGAUCGUACCUAACCUUUAUUCUUCUUAUCCUGUAUGCACUGAAUGAUACCUCUGUUCGAAAGUCAAUAAGCAAUUUCAGAAUCGAAGAAGGAAGUCAAAGAAUGUAGGGCAAUAGCUAGAGGGUAGUCGGGGAAGCUAAGUCAGAAUAUAAGUCAGCAGUCAGGGAAUGAAAGCCAGAGUUGAGGUCCGGAAAGGCAGCCUAAUAGUAAGUAAAGAGCACGAAGCCAGUAAGGGACGCCCAAGAUACAGCAAAGUCAAGGCUAAAAGAGAGGAAUGCCAGUUUGUCUGUUAUUAUAAGAGAAUAUAUCUAAUGCAAAUGACUAUUAUAAGAGAAUAGAUAAAUGACUAUUAUAAUAUCAUAUAUAAAUGACAAAACCAACUCUAAUACAUGCGGAAGGAAUACUCAAUUGAAUCAUGAAAUAAACAAGUCAGAAUGCCGUAUAGGGUGGGCAAUAAAGUGACCUCACUGCUAAAUGAUCUUUCUUCUUAAGGUAAGCGCUUUCAACUCUCGCUUUUGUUAGCUUUGGAAGCUGAAGCCACAAACAAAUACUUCUCAUCUCUCCAGUACCGAGUCAACUCAUUCAUUUGCAUUUCAUCUUUCGUAUCGAGCACCUACACCUAGUAAAGAAAUCCGUAAAUAACACUAUCCCUUUUGUCGAACUUAACUUCACUUUCGGACCUGCUGACUUCUGCCUUUAUUCUUUCUUUCCCGCACCCCCGCCCGAACUAGGCUACGAACAAGAGCAUAGGUCGACUCAAACUCACUAACUAUGGGACUUAUUCUUAUCCUUAAUCCGCGUGAACUCUACUUGCAUAACCGACUCUACUUUCUGAUCCCGAUCAAGUAUAUGAUCUCGGCGCUACUGAUUCUCUUGACUUUCUCCACGCCAAUACCUAUGCUUGCAGCUGAAACUCUCACUGUUGAUGAACCCUCUUCUGAUCCCCUGAUCCCCUUAGCAAGCACAGCGUAUUCUCUUUCAACUUCCAAUCAAACUACUAGCUAAUUGAACUAGCACCGAUAAGACCUGAACCCAUAUACUACUAUGGAUAAGAAGAGUCCCACUCCUAACUCGACUCGGAAUGGAACUCAGAAGUAAGACCCACCCACGCAUAUAAGAAUUAGCGAUAUCGGAAUUAGGCAGUGCCCCUAACUAUUAUAUUAAUCAGAAUUGACACCACUAAUGGAAAUACCUUAACUCGGAACUCAGACUCGAACACUACCCCCAACGACUUAAACUACUCAUAGAAAGGCUGAAACAACACCUAAUAGAAUGGAACGACUUACUUGCCAACCCUCCAACCUCUGAAUCUUCAUAGUAGUUCUAAUACUCUCUAUUAAAGUAACCUAACUCCUUCUAUAUGAAAUUAAAGUAAAGUGACUUAACUCCUUUCUUUUCAUUCCAUCUACAAAUUCUAUAAAUUGAUGAAAACCACUUCUGACUGAACUCCGCUCGCCUCUUUCUUUCCCUGGAUGUUCUAUUCAAUGUAAGCUAUAUUCAUUGGCCCAUCCUCAAGUCAAUGGCCACUCCUAUCUUUCCUCCUUGUUGAGCUGAAUAUCAAGUUUCAAGGUGUUGUCAGGUAAGAUGUUAGUUAUACAGAGAAUCCAAUACAAACACUUAAUACAGAGAAUCCAACACUUAAACACGGAUUACAUUAAGUCCAACACUCACACACAUAAUAGAUAAUACUACUUUCUUUUGGAAAUGAGAAAGAAAGAGCGUAAAACAAAAUAUGUCUUUCGGAAUACAUAUGUGCUAAUGACAAAGAGCGGGGUAAGCCCUUCGGUGUGCUAAUGAUAAAGAGCGGGGUAAAUAUGACUUAGGAAUACAUAUGUGCUAAUGACAAAAGAAAAGAGCCACGUCAAUCAAUCCGCCAAAAACGGAGAGAGAGAGAGAUUCAGAAUCAGAAAUGGAUAAUAGGCUUAUAGAAACUCCUAAGGAGAGUUAUAGCCACAAUCCGUCUAUACCUUAUGCCAGUAAAGACAAUCGAACUCGCCUUCCUCCUUAUACGCUAUUCUUCUUUCACUUUGCUCUGCUCAAUCCAAUCUUAUGGAGGCAGAGACCACUGUGUUCGCUUGAAUCGAGCUAUAGAAGCUCUGUAACACUCUCUUUUUCACUAUGAAGAAAACAAACAAACACCUCUAAUCCUUUUCUUUUGUCCGAAGAAUCAGUAUUCAAUCCCCAGAGCAGUUGAGAAAGAAAGAGUAGUUGGUUUUCCCUGUAUUGAUAGCCCCGAGUCAGCAUUUAUGAGCUUAUCGGGUGGACACAACUAUUUGUUUUUUGAUAGUGAAGUCUGCUUUGUAGACCUUCUGCAAUACAGUAUAGCCUUUUCUUUGCCUUGUUCUCCGGGUCGGCUUGAAAUCCUUCUCAACGAUAGAUUCUUUUUUGUCACUGCCAUAAUACCCCUUCCUUGUUAUUGAGUUUGGUAACUUAUAUUCCCAUAAUACCCAUAUUUGUUAUUUAUUAGUAAAUCAUCAUCCCCUUAUUUAUUAAUAGCUAUCCGCCCGAUUCAAUAGAGAGCUGGUCCUUCAAUAAUCAGCACAAACUAGCCCCCAACAUUGAGCUAUCCCCACCGAAAGACAGACAGACCCAACAUUGAUGAUUGACCCAACAUUGAGCUAUCCCUACCGAAAGAAAAGGAAAGGGAUAGAAUAGGUUUUGUUACCAACUGGCCAUGAACUCGGCCAAGGGUAAAGAUGAUUCAGAAUAAAUGCAAUUGAACAGCGUUGUUUGUCCCGUUGCUUGUUUCUUUUAUUGUGCAAAUAGAAGAAGAAACCCGAUCCCGCCCAUCGUUGUCAUUGAUUACCAUUAACUGUACCUGACUAAAAGCUGUAACUACACGGGGAGAUUGCCUAUGCCUCUUUCUCGUUGGCUGUAGUUCAUCUCUGAUAGAAUAAGAGGGUAAGUGAGCGCUUUCAGUAUCAAGUUAGGGCGUUGUCAAUCAGUGUCAAAGUAUAUAGAAUCAGAGUCUAAAGUCAGCACUAAAGUCAGCGGAACUGGUCCAGUAGAAAGGUUCUGCUCCGCUCUCCCGUAAGCGCUUAAUAGAUGUGGCUUCUUCCUGCUCCGGAUCUAGUUUCUUAACGUCUUCGUUCUUAUCCUUAUUCAUAUCCUGCUCCACCUGGCUCUAAAUCCAAUAAUGGGAGCCUUAACUAUGUAGUUUGAGUUUGUUUCUUUCCUCUUCUAUUGCUUGUUGAGUUGCUUCUUGAAGAAUCAUAUAGCUUUUCAUUAUUAAGAUAAAACGAGUAACCAGACUGCUUACAUAAAACAUAUAUUACUCCUGGCACAAACUCACAAACGCUUGUUGGGCAAAAUCAUGGAAUUGAAGAUGACCCGCUUUUAUAUGAUACGAGCAUGAAAUAAGUGUGUGGCGCCCUUGAGACUUUACCUAAGCUGUUGAGAAAAGAGCUUAUAGAUAAGAAAGUAGACUUGAAGUUCCGCUUGCUACUGACUUGAGACUUAAGCGGUGGGUAUUCAUUCUUAAAGAGAUGAUCUUAUGCUUCAGAUCCAGCUCCAACUGCAACAACUAAUUCCACAAGAGGAGCCUCUUUUCAACGUUAUACGAGAUAAUACUUUACUUGCGAAUAACUCACUACCGAGCACGUAAAGCUUCUGAUCUUUCAACUCUUUCAAAAAGAGAAAGAUACUCAUCGCCUUAACCAACAGAGAAAACAGUACUUUCUUUUGGAACUGGACAUUCUCAUUCAGCUGCUGACUUUCGCAUACCUUUUUCCGACCUAGGCUUGAAGGGGAAAGGAACGAAAACAGGACAUCCUUCUUCCACAUAUGGAGUAAAAACACUGACUGCUAAGCUUCCUCUCUUUUAGCGUGUGAAAACUCCUAACUCGAAACACUCCCAUAAGUUGUUCCCUGAAACCACAAAGCUCACGUUAGCCCUUACUUAUUGAGUUUACUUAAACCACAUUGCUUCUUUUAAGAACUCUGCUAGGGCAGCUUCCUGCUAUACUCUCGUACCUCAUCAUUGCCUAAAGCUUUCACAAUGGAAAUUCAUCCAUGUGGUAUAGAAGUCAAGUAAACAAACACUGCACUUACUCUAAAGGAAGUAACUAAACAUAUUACAGCAGCUGGCUCUAAUCAAAUGCGCUGUUCCAACAAAUUCACUGAUGACUAUACAAAGCUUGUUCGUUCCCCGGAAAGUCACUUAUAACCUCAUAGCCUGUUUAAACCUCAUUGCUUACUGCAGGCUCUGGCUCUACCUGCUUACAGCUGACAAAACAAACUAGUUCCUUUUUUCUCCUGCCUAGAAGCUAUCUGAAUGGAAUAUCGGCGUGGGGUUCAGCGAAAUCAAUGAUUCAAUCAGGUUCAGCGAAAUCCAUGGUUCAAUAAAGAUGGAUGCCUGCCACCUAUUCUAUUAAUGAAGUCUCUGGUCUGCUCGCCGGUAAAGAAUCGAGGUCCCUAUUUUGUAAGAAAGAGAAAACUCUGCUGCCUAACCGAAACCUAUACUGACUAUAGUGAUAGUACUCUUUUAUCUUGCCUAAAGCUUGUAUACUUGAUUUACUUAACUCAAUAAGCAACAUUAUACAAAGCUUGUUUGUUCUGUUGCGCUUACGCGAGUUCUUUGCCCUUCUUUGUUGAAACACCGAAGCUAACGCACCCCACUUCUGAAUCGAAUAUAAGUCAAAAACCCCGCUGCUACACUUACUUAUUGAAUGGAAUGGAAUCUCCAUAGCAUCAUAUAGAAUAGUUUAACCUAACCUGGAAACAAGAAAUAGCGUUAGUGCGAAGAGAAGAAUAGAGCAUUACAAAUAGAGAAGCCCAGCAAAAGACUCCUGACUGCUUAUUAGAAAGAAUAGAAUUGAUAUGGAGGCACCUAAUAUAAGAGACUAGAGCAAUAGUAACUACACUCCGAAUGAGGCACCCAAUAUAAUAGACUAAAGCAAUAGUAACUGAACUCCGAACUCUGGUAACGAAUAUCAUAGGCGCCACUCCCAAACGCGCAACAACAACAAGCUUACUCACUUGUGCUUACGCUUACUUACUUGUGCUAGCGGUUACUCUCAGGGGCAUGUUAUGUUGAGUUCGAGCAAGGAUGUCCUUUAUUAUUGAGUAAUCUCUAACCAACUAAGAGAAAGAAGGUUCACCCAAGAAAGUCAAGAAAGUGGAUUUCCUAUUCCUCUGCCUUUGAAUUUGUAUAUUAGGGCGGUAAUAGUAAGCUGGCGGUGCUUUUGUGGUAUCCGUCAAAAAGCAAUGCUCUGUGAAAGUGACUCAUUUCUAUAACAAACAGGAGAGCACUAAAUUCCAUUCAAUAACCCUAACUUGACCGACCAUGUAAAGGGCCUGGAUAAGGAUUAUUUCACGAAGUUGAGUCGACAACUGCAAAUGGAUUAGAAGCAGCCGCAAGUCACGUAUCUCAUCUAAAGUAUAAAGUCAGGUAUCAAGUCAAGGGUGAGGGGCAGUCAAGAGCAGAAGCAACAGAAGAGAGAUAUUAAGCAGUAUCCGGUGAGGAGGUAGAACCCAGAUCUUGAAAGUCCAAAGUGCGGGUGUUGCUGACUCGAAUGAAGCAGCGGCUGGUUAAGGGAAGGGAAUAGAAUGAAUUGCUUGUUCAACUCCAAUGUAUUAAGAAUUCAUUGAAUCCAUCGAGCUCCCUAAAGCCAGUUCUGCAAACCUAUAUUUCUUUCUUUAUUGCUUGCUCGGCGUGCCCCUUUGCUUCUUUCUCUCUUCCGGCAUAAUCAUCUUUAUCAGCAUCCAACGCUCUAGCUCCAUACAAGAGUACUUUCUAGGCGCUCUUCCUAUCCUCUCCUUCUAUAAUGAAAGCAUCCUUUCUUUCCUAGCACCGACGAAAGCAUCCUUUCUUUCCUAGCACCGACCAAGGCAUCCCCUUUCCCUCAAAUACUUGUUCUAGAAACUAUGGCUUGUUCUGUGCGUACCUCAAUUCCUUCUUCAGCGCUAAGGGAAUUCCUGUCUUCAUCUUAAAGUCGAGUGAGCGGAGGAAUAAAGUACUGGUGCGCGAACGGGAGUUUUAGUUGAUUGACUCGUUCGUUGAUUUAGUAUAUAAAGGGUAUUUAGAGAUAGAUUCCAUUCCAGUAGUUUGGAGUGCGAGAUAUCUUCUUUUUGGAUUUUCCAUUUCAUUCUUUGUUUACUCUGUUAAAGAUAAGAAAUAACUGGUAGACUCGGUACUUAGGGAGUUUCUGCUUGAUGGAAAUUCCCAUUACAUGGAACACAUAAGUUCAGAAAUGCAUCUUUGAGUUGCGCUAACCAUACUUCUUGUAUGGGGUUAGGUGCUUUAGAGUUGUCGCGGGUAGGUGCUUUAUAGAGAACAAGUAAUCUGAAUCUACUAAGCAAGAAGAUCUUCCGCGCACUAAGCAAUCUUAUCUUCUUCAAUAGGAUCUUGAACUGGACGAACAGAACUCGUAUUUACUUCAGGACAUAUGUUAGGUUCUCUUGCUGGUUAAGUUGCGCUUACGUGAGCGGGUGCUAAUAUUAGUCAUGGGAGUGAAGUAUGUUAGAUUACUCAAUUAUAAGCUGCAGCGGGCGAAAUCCUAGAAUGUUGCUAUGAGAGAAGCGUCGAGAAGCUAAGGUAAAGUAUCAAAAAGGUUUCGUUUAGGCCAAGCCGAUCACGAUCAGAUGAAAGGGAAGCCGUGUGUGUUGUUACAAUUUCUUUCUAUACCAUGCAAAAGAUGUAUUCAAUUCCUAACUUACAGUAUAGUUUGAGUUAGCCGUUGCUGCUUUUUCUGCUAGAGCUCCUUUUCGUUUCAAAGUCUUAGAAUCGACAAGUUUUCACCAGCUUACUGAGUUAUUAGAGUUAACGCCAGAGUUAUUAGAGUGUUUGCGAGCCAUUGUAUAGAAACACGUAGAAACACGGGUCAUUACAGAUCUAUUCUGAAAUAAUGUAUGUUCCAGAUCUAUUCAGAAAUUCCAUUCAACCAGAAAGCGCUUCCGCAAGUAAAGUUCCUGUUCGAAAGUCAGCAAACGAUUCAUCAAGUAGAGGUCGGGCAAGACGAACAAGUGGUGGGAGUGUAGUUCGGGCAAGUUCCAUGUAGGGUUUGACUGGUUUACUCAGAACAACAAUACUUUGUUGAGAGAGAGGUGAAUCGACAAGAGAAUCCGCAGCAAGCUUAGAAGAAAGGUUCAAGCGCAAGUCCUAUUAUCUUUCGGGAGCUCACACAGCAUCAUAUCUGACUUUAGCCUAAAAUCCUUAUUGAGUGUCGAGCGCAGAAGAAGAACCUAUCUCGGCGUCAACUAAAACUUAUUCCACCUUUUAUCUAUCAUUGCCAACUAACAAGCAAGGGAAGGAGCUACUGCAGGACAAUAUGCCAAUUCCUCAUCACCCAUAGGAAAUGACUAGAAAUAUCCGUUUCAGCGUUAACCGACAGUUGGACCACUACCCGGGCCGGGCCCUCAUUCUGUACACCACCUAGCUUAUUGAGUUUGCACAUAUAGAAUAGUGUUUUGAGUUGGCACAGAUAGAAUAGGGCUUGUUCCACUAUCUGCUCUCGAGUCUAAUCCAGUUUAUGCUUUUGGAGAAAUAGAGGGAUCACCCCCUUUUUACCUUAAUAAGAGGCCAAACCUUGAGAAAUGGGGAAAGCAUCAUCCCUUUGAAGCCUUAAUUCGUGGGUAGCUUCCGGUCUAUAGAUUUGUAUAGUAGCGGUCGUUUUCUAGGAAAAGGUAGUGGGCUAUAUAUAUACUAUCUUUCUUAGUAGUACCAUCUUCAGUACGGGCUGGCUUAGGAAGUACCUUUAUAUUGUGAGCAGGCACAGUUCAAGUCAAGUGUUUCAAUUCUAAGAAAAUCCUAUACUAUCUAUCAUUAGUAAGCUUUGAAUGGGGGGAAAGGAAAGGAAAGAGGAAAGGUACUGCUAUUCAUCCCUAGAUUGAGAAAAUGAUGCCUGCUAUAAGUAUAGAUAAAGCAGAAGAAAUCCUAUAUGGGACAAACUCUGUAUCGCCUAGUAAAUGUGCUUAUCGAGAAUUAUGGAGUUGGUUGGAAGGAGUUGGAAAGCAGCUAUCUGCGCCCUUCCUCGUUUCUGGGUGCCUCCGCCCUUAUUCGCACUUCCGCCUCUUUCUUUCUCUUU